AGGGCACCACCAGGAGUGGAGUCUGCAGCUUAAUUUGACUAAAUGUGGGGAAACUUACUAGGUCCAGACAUAGUAAGGAUUGACAAACUGAGAGCUCUUUCUUGAUUCUGUGGGUAGUGGUGCAUGGCCGUUCUUAGUUGGUGGAGCAAUUUGUCUGGUUAAUUUCAUUAACCAACGAGACCUCAGCCUGCUAACUAGCUAUGUGGAGGUGACCUUCUGCGGCCAGCAUUUUAGAGGCACUAUGGCCGAUUAGGCCAAGGAAGUUUAAGGCA
rnacentral:rRNA from 1 species